rnacentral:rRNA from 1 species
UACGAAGGGGGGCUAGCGUUGCUCGGAAUUACUGGGCGUAAAGGGCGCGUAGGCGGAUAUUUAAGUCGGGGGGUGAAAGCCCAGGCUCAACCCUGGAAUAGCCUUCGAUACUGGAUAUCUUGAGUUCGGGAGAGGUGAGUGGAACUCCGAGUGUAGAGGUGAAAUUCGUAGAUAUUCGGAAGGAAACACCAGUGGCGAAGGCGACUCACUGGCCCGAUACUGACGCUGAGGCGCG